ensembl:lncRNA
CUCCUACCGCCUCUAAACCUGACCUGUGGAGUGUGUAUUUUUUGUUCUCUCUCUCUCUCUCUCUCCAUCUAUCUCUCAAUCACACACACAAAAACACACUGAGUGACAAGAGAGGCAUGAGUUAGGUGAGGUGUAAAGUUUGUCUCGGCGGUCUGAAGAAAGAGGGUAGUCCAGAGGACUAGAAGGAAGGAGAGGAGUCUAGCAGAGGACUAGAAGGAAGGAGAGGAGACCAGCAGAGGACUAGAAGGAAGGAGAGGAGACCAGCAGAGGACUAGAAGGAAGGAGAGGAGACCAGCAGAGGACUAGAAGGAAGGAGAGGAGACCAGCAGAGGAUUAGAAGGAAGGAGAGGAGACCAGCAGAGGAUUAGAAGGAAGGAGAGGAGACCAGCAGAGGAUUAGAAGGAAGGAGAGGAGACCAGCAGAGGACUAGAAGGAAGGAAAGGAGACCAGCAGAGGAUUAGAAGGAAGGAGAGGAGACCAGCAGAGGAUUAGAAGGAAGGAGAAAGAGACCAGCAGAGGACUAGAAGGAAGGAAACGAGACCAGCAGAGGAAUAGAAGGAAGGAGAGGAGACCAGCAGAGGACUAGAAGGAAGGAGAGGAGACCAGAGUGAGAACACAAGUUAGUAAUGCUUCUGGGUAUCUUAUCGAAAUGCAGAAAUGCCUUCAUUAACAUAAAUACAAAUCAGAAAGAGAGUGUUUUCCAGAGAUCCAAGUUGAAGGACUCCUGGAUUUCCAGCCUAUUGUAUCCCCAUUAUGAAUCUUCCAAGCAGGAAACGUUUUGGGAAAGUUUAUGGAAUUUCGCAAUUAACCAGAGUACAGAGUUGUUAUAACCAUUACCAGUCUCUACCAGUGGUAGUGUUAUAACCAGUCUCUACCAGGGGUAGUGUUGUUAUAACCAGUCUCUACCAGUGGUAGUGUUAUAACCAGUCUCUACCAGUGGUAGUGUUAUAACCAGUCUCUACCAGUAGGUAGUGUUGUUAUAACCAGUCUCUCCCAGUGAUAGUUCAGCUGAACUGCAGUCUAAAUGUAGCUAUCUGACCUUUCCGUCCUGCUACUCCAGAAACAGCAACACCUGUUUACUUACAUUAUGCUGUAGUUGUUCAGACUUCUCUUGAUUAUUGUGGAUCCAGUGAAGAGAGAACAGAAGGUUUGUUUAUUUUGUUUAUUUUAUUUAACGAGGCAAGUCAGUUAAGAACAAACUCUUAUUUCCGAUGACGGCCUAGGAACAGUGGGUUAACUGGCCUAGGAACAGUGGGUUAACUGGCCUAGGAACAGUGGGUUAAC